rnacentral:tRNA from 1 species
GGGGAAAUAGCUCAGUUGGUUAGAGUGCUGGUCUGCUACGCCAGAAGUCGCGGGUUCGAACCCCGUUUUCCCCG